GGCAAGUGGUAUAUAGGCAUGAACUGCUACAAUUCGAAUGUUGAAAAAAGAGAAUGUCAAUGAGUCUAAUGGAAUGUUUCAGAGCUCACAGAAGUCUAUGUGAGGAAGCAGGCAAAGGAACCAUCCUGGAAAGAGGGGCAGGUGCUGGAAGAAAGAUUUCUAGUCAGUGGAAAAUCCUUUCAACUGACCUCUCCUCUUCUAGAAGAAAUUAUGCAUGGGAAUUUAUUUUUUACAAGCUUUCAUUGAC